rnacentral:tRNA from 1 species
GGCAAGAUGGCCGAGCGGUCUAAGGCGCUGUGUUCAGGUUUCUUUCACAGAGGAGCUUUCGCAGUGGAGCAAUCCGCGCGAGUUCGAAUCUCGUUCUUGUCA